AGUAAACGUCGGACCUAACUAUGAGGUUCUUAAGGUAGCGAAGUUCCUUGUCACUUUGUUGGUGACCGUGCAUGAAGGGUAGCCCAUUUCGGUACCUGUUUUUGAUUGCUCGUCUUUGAAAUUUCCUAUUUAUGUCAGAAGGCAUUUUAUUCGUAUUAGACAAAAAGACCCUAUGAAUCUUUAUUUUUUC
rnacentral:rRNA from 13 species